UAGUUAUUGUGUAUUAAUUAAAUUCAUCGGGUUUCAUGGAAGAACUUUUCAAAACUUUUAGAGUUUAUUCAGAAAAAUUUAUCCUUUUGUCACGUGAGGAGUAUUUUCAGUCUAUCCCAUAUGCAUCAGUUCGCGCCAGAUUUCUUAGAGUUCGGUUUACUGUUUCCUUGGUGUUUCUCGUUAUCUUCUGAAGAUCACUGCGAUAAUUUUUUAUUUCAUGUAUGGAUACAUUAUGCGCUGUUUUUAAUGGAUGUAAGGUGGAAAUUUUGCUGUGAAUUUAGAACUUGUUUCAGAAUAUGCUACAGGAAGAAAAGUUGAAAAAUAAUUUAUUUUCGACAAUUAGCGAGAACUGAUCUUUGUAUAUGGGGGUAAUACUUGGAUAUAAGUGAAUUGUUUAUAAGCCUGUUAUUUAGACAUGUCUACCGAUUUAGUGCUAUUACGUAGAACUAUAUCAAAGACCGAAUGGAGGAUUGAUCCAACUUUAAGACAAGUUGGACAAGGGGGUUUAGAAUUAGUGGACGUCAAUUUAUUUCAUUAAAUUUUAUACAGUUUAUGCAUUUUAUUAUAUUUAUUUCAGAGUUUCUUGUAUGUUUCAUUUUUACUUCCGGUAUCUACAUUCAUAAAGUGAUGAAGGUUUUAAUGGGGGUUGAGUUAUGUUGGACAUCUGAGGAGGAGGGGUUACAAAAACUUGGACAAACUGGGACAAAAGGAGUGUUCAAAAUGACUUGCAACAAAUUGGAAUUACUGGAGUCACUCAAGCAACCAAAGAUAGAUUUGAUAUGGUUAUCACAGACUAUCACCUUUUAGCAAAUCUUCUGGACCCAAGAUACCAGGGUGUAAAGCUCACACAGUAUGAAGGAUGCUGCACUAACUUUGUGCAAAAACUACCCCAUUUCUGCAACACAUUUGCAGAGUCUGUACUAACUAAUAUCACUCCUCUUAAAUGGUGGCAGUUGUUACAUGACAGAAUUGAUGAAUCUCUUAAAAUUAUUUACACAGCUACACACAGCAGUGGCUUCUUCAGUGGGAAUUGAGAGAAUUUUCUCUACCUAUGGACUCAUUCAUUCAAAACUUAGAAAUAGACUUGGACAGGAAAAGGCAGCAAAUCUUGUUAGUUUCCAAGCACCUAACAAACACUAACGAGUGUUGUACCUUUCUGAAAAAAACAACUUCUUCAAGCUGAAGAAGACACUGCUGUCAAUCCUGUUUUGGUAUUUGUACAUGUGAAUUUUAAAAAUGCUAUAUUUUAUAUUAAAGAAAACAUUCUGUACAUUCUUGGAUCUUAUGCUGAAGUUUUUCUGCUAUUUUUCUAUUUUACUAUAUCAAGUGUUUUAUUUCCAAAAAAACAUUUUAAAUCUGAUACUUAUGUUUUAAAAAUUUUUUUUAAAUCAUGUCAAACCCUGGUUAAAUGCCUGUCAAAAAAUAAUAAAUGCUAUGAAUAUAUGUUAAAUGCUUUUUGUAUCGUUUUGUUUUCUUAAAGGUGGAGAGACUCAUGCAAUUUUAUUACUUAUUUCUCUUUGUCAAAAUCUAUGCAUUGGUACUAUCUAGGCCAGGGGUGGCCAAACCGUGGCGCAUGCGCCAAACUUGGCGCAUUGGACGAUUACAAGUGGCGCUUUAGUCAGUUCUGAGCAACAUUGCCAGAUUUGGCUUCUUUGCAAUUAAGAAUAUUACAUA